CCUGCUGCUGUGGGGCUGGAAACCCCAGAACUGCUCAGAACUGGAAUAGAUCAUCACCCACCCCGGGGAAUCCACUGACCCUGCAUUUCUCUGAGGCACUGGGACAGCCCACACCCUCCUGCUUGUGACCUGAGACUCCAGCUCACAGACUACUUCCUGCCUCUUUCUGAAGCAGCCUGACAGUUGGGAUGUUGCUCCUGAGUGUGUUCACCUUCUCCCACCUCUGGGUGUUUGGACUUGGGCAGUUGGAGCAACCUGAAAUAUCAGUCACCAAAGCAAUAGGCGAGAGUGCUCAAAUAGCUUGUAAAGUCUCUCCAGACCUUGGCGACACAUAUAUACAUUGGUACCGUCAGAAAGAAAAUCAACAGUUUGACUAUCUAAUACAUGUCAGGCAAAGCUAUAAUCAACGUCCCUUAGAUGGGAUAAACAAGAAAAUUGAAGUGAGUAAAGAUAGUCAAACUUCUACUUCAACCUUGAAAGUAAAUUUCCUGAAGAAAGAAGAUGAAGCCUUUUACUACUGUGCAGUCUGGACUUGUGACAGCUCGACAUGGAUCAAGAAAUUUUCAAAAGGGACAAAGCUCAUAGUAAUUCCCUCAGGCAAACGCUUCGAUUCAGACAUUUUCCCCAAGCCUACCAUUUUUCUCCCUUCUGUUGCUGAAAUGAAUCUCCAUAAGGCUGGGACAUACCUUUGUCUCCUCGAGAAAUUCUUCCCUGAUGUUAUAAGUGUAUAUUGGCGAGAAAAGGGUGGCGAUAAAGUUCUGGAAUCUCAAGAGGGAAAUACCAUGAAGACUAAAGAUACAUAUAUGAAGUUAAGUUGGCUGACUGUGGCUGAAGAUUCAAUGAAUAAGGAGUAUGGAUGCAUAGUCAAACAUGAAAACAAUCAGAGAGGAGUUGAUCAAGAGAUUCUCUUUCCUCCCAUAGAUAAAGCUUUCACAACUAUUAAUCCCAGAGAAAGUGUUCUGAGACAUGAAAAUGUUAAUAAUUCUACUGAUCUGGAAGCUUGCUUGGAAAGAAGAAAGGAUCAGCUGCAGCUUCAAGUUACCAACACCUUGGCAUUCUACACCUACCUCAGCCUGUUCUCCAAGAGUGUGGUCCACUUGGUCUUCCUUAUCUUCUGUCUGUGUAGAAGGGCAGCAGCGCAUCGUGAUGGCCAAAGUUCAUGAUGGAUGAUGCAACAGGAGGGUCAUGUUGUUUGCAUCCUUUUUUCUAACCCUCAAUGUCUUCUGAGGGUCUAGCUGGAUGUGCUUGCUGCUUUGAGCUCACAUGUGAUCAUUCAAGGUCACAUAUGAGGAAUUUAGAAUCCUUACUAUACAGAUGUUUUCAAAACAGGGAGGAAACUGAUCGACUUUACUCUACAACUAACAGUAGCCCAUGGGAGCAACCAGCCAUCCUGACCCAUCUUCUCUCAGUGCCCAGUGCCCCCCACCCCUACCCAACAUCCUAAAGCAUCACAGGCCCAAUGUAGACAAACUGCAACUUUUAGCCAGCCCACUUCAUGUCCUUCAACCAGAUAAUGCCCUAAAAACCUCUACAUCAUAAGCUCUGAAGAACCUUAUUUGAACGUGAACUCUGUGCUUUGCCUGCUAAAUACAAUAAAAAAUCAUUUCUACCUUUGA